rnacentral:misc_RNA from 1 species
GCAGGAACUUUUAACUGAUGCUCAGAAAGAAACAUUGAUGGAGAUUUUGGAGAGGAUGACAAAUUCUUCGGGGAUGAUGACAAAUUCUCCAAAUUUAGACUUGCUAUUUUCAACAUCUCCCUCUGCUCAUCCGUCAGAAAUCCCUCACUAGAGGCCAUUUACACUUUGCCAAUUCUAUAAAGUCACUAAAUCCAAACUGCAGGAGAACAAGAGCACACUUGUGGAGGAUUCAAUCGAAAAAUCCGAAUCCGACAGUUCUGUGCUUGGCUCGGAUCUCGAGCCAAGACAAGAGAAGCAAUCGGAUCUCCCAAAACGGGGAGCCCGAUCCGAACCGAAAUGGUAAAAGGAAGAAGUAAGUAGAUUGAAUCUGAAACUAGACAAUCGUGGAUCCUGAAUUCAGGUAUUGUUUUAUGGGUCCGCAAGUAAACGUCUGUAUCCGUUAAGGAGGAAUAAAG